rnacentral:pre_miRNA from 1 species
AAUAGAUGACGCCGUUGACUUUUUCUCACAUAUUUGACCAUUCGUCUUAUUCAAAAAAUUUACGUAAUUAUAAUUUAUUUUGUUAUGGGUUGUUUUAUCACUCAUAAUACUUUAAGUGUGAUUUAUAUCUUAUACAUUUGCAUAAAAUUUUUGAAUAAGACGAAUGGUCAAACAUGUGAGAAAAAGUUAACGGCGUCAUCUAUU